CUUUCCCGUUGCCUCCCUUGGCGCGCCCUGAGCCAUUUGACUCCUGCUCUUCUCCAGAUCCCAAAGUUUGGCUUCCCAGGCUGUGCCAGGCCGGCUUGGCCCUGCCCACUGCUUUAAUCCCACCCUAGUUCUGGGAUUGUGAAGCCAAACAUUUCCUCCUUCACUCCUCCCCAAGUCCCUUCUUAGUGUAGGUGGUUUUACUUUUUGGGGGCGUUUCGGGUGAGGACCUUUGUCCGAGACUUCUGAAAAAACGAAAGAACUCCGAUCCUCCUCUGCCUGUAGAUGUGAUGGAUUACAUUAAUUGAUGUUUGGAUGUUGAACCACCCUUGUGUACCUGGGAUGAAUUCUACUUGGUCAAGUUCUGUCAGUUUUUGUCUCACACAUUUUGCUGCUAUGCUGUUGGGUACGUGUGAAUUAAGGUCUGAGUUUCUGCCCUGCAUCAUUUUCUUUGUCACAGAGGAACAUCUUUUAACAUUCUCGCAAGGAGAACACAGACCGUGCUCCAACAAGUGUCUGACAACAAUUUGAAGCUUGAUGUUGAGCCCUUCAAAACCACACAGUCUUAGGUAAUGUGACCCAGUUCCUUGGUUUUGCAAAGAAGGGACUGUGCAACUGGGAGAAGAGAAUGCAGUUAUUUACCAGUUUCUUCCUAAGGGCAAAAAACAGAAUGUUCAGCAUUCAUGGGAGGGGCAGGAGUUGUGUUCUGCCUGAGGAAUUCUUGCUCACUGGAUGGUCUGGGUCAGGUGACAAACUUCCAUAGCUUGGCCUGGCACCAGAAUGGGCCCUGCCUAGAGGCAGGAAAAAUGUUUUCUUUAAGUCCUACUUUCCCCAGCAGUUUGUAACAAUGCCCUGGUGUCCCAUUUCCACAGACUUGAUGGGGGCUGGGGGGUGGAGACUACAGGUAAUUAAGCUGUAGGACCUUCAAAGGAAACUCUUGUAGAAGAAUUCAGUUGGGACGCUGGUCCCCAGGACCAAGGUUCUAAAGAGCCCCUUGCCUUUUGCUAAAGGCAGAACAAACCCAUUCCUUGACCCUCUCCAAGGUAGAAGCUGCUGAGAUGAUAUGGAUGCUUCUGGAGUGAGAAGGAGAAGGGACUUACAGGGAGCAAUCUGUCCUUUGGUGGCACUUAAUUAUCUGUAUCAUUCUUCAUAAGGUUAGCAACUGCUCUUCAGCAAGUAUGAAGACUGUUGAAACAGAUCCUGUAUUUCUAGGUUUGGGGAACUGGGUGUCAUCAGGCAAUUUUUAUCCCCAAAAAUCUUUUAGCUGUGCAAAAAUCUACAUUAACCAUAGAAAUUGAUCCCCUCAAAUUAACAUCUUCUCUACGCAGCCCGUCUGUCCCAAGUGUGAGGUUGGAGGGUGGAAGACAGUGGUGACUGGGGGCAUGAGCCUGGAUGAGAUGACUCACAAGGCCUCUUGCAGCCUGAAGAUUUGAGGAUUCUGUGCUGAUGUACCUGUGACAGCCAUCAGAAACCAACAGCAUCUUCUCUAGAAUUUGAGUUUGGAUAUUGGAGCCCCAGAUUUUGACAUGGGGCUGCCUAUUUUAGGGAUCACUAUCCCUUUUGCCUCCAUAAAGACAUUUAAGAUGGUAGUUUGGGCUGCCAGUUUCUAGAAUCUCUCUGAUGAGAGGUAUCUUGGAUCACCUCCCGAGGCUCCCUUGGCUAGGCAAUGUUAGGAAAAUAGUUCUGCAGCAGCAGAGACACCCCCUCCCCAAAGGGUCUGCUCUGCUCGCUCUGUUCCCAGGGCAUAUGGGCACACCUGCCAGCCAGCUCUGGCCCCCUGGAGUAGGCACGUCCCCUGAUGUGGGAGUCAAUGGUCACAGACCCUUUGAUGGUGCACUUUUCUAUACUUGUAUAUUGUCUUCCUUUUUUUCUUCUUCUCCCUCCUUCUCCUCUCUCAGUGUAUCUAAACACCUGAAGAAGAAACUGCUGGUUGCUUAC